UGCAGUCAAACUAUGUAGCCUCACUGCGAAUAGCCAACACACUGUAGGUCAAAAAAUCAGUUACACCACUACAGCAUUGAGAAAACCACUGACGAGUGAGCAGACAUUCAAGUGGUUUCUCAUGUUGGUCACACUCUGUACAAGUUGUUCUCUAAUAACCACCUACACUCUCAUCCCAGUGUCUCUACACCACAGGCUUGAGACUCAUCUGCCCCAA
rnacentral:lncRNA from 1 species